rnacentral:rRNA from 1 species
UACAGAGGGGGCAAGCGUUGUUCGGAAUUACUGGGCGUAAAGCGCGCGUAGGCGGCUUUGCAAGUCGGGUGUGAAAUCCCCAGGCUCAACCUGGGAACUGCAUUCGAGACUGCAUUGCUAGAGUAUGGGAGAGGGAAGUGGAAUUUCCGGUGUAGCGGUGAAAUGCGUAGAUAUCGGAAGGAACAUCAGUGGCGAAAGCGACUUCCUGGACCAAUACUGACGCUCAUGUGCGAAGGCGUGGGGAGCAAACAGG